rnacentral:rRNA from 1 species
CAGCAGUCGCCGCGGGAAUACGGAGGGUGCAAGCGUUAAUCGGAAUUACUGGGCGUAAAGCGCACGCAGGCGGUCUGUCAAGUCAGAUGUGAAAUCCCCGGGCUUAACCUGGGAACUGCAUUUGAAACUGGCAGGCUAGAGUCUUGUAGAGGGGGGUAGAAUUCCAGGUGUAGCGGUGAAAUGCGUAGAGAUCUGGAGGAAUACCGGUGGCGAAGGCGGCCCCCUGGACAAAGACUGACGCUCAGGUGCGAAAGCGUGGGGAGCAAACAGGAUUAGAUACCCCGGUAGUCCCUGUCUCUUAUAU